rnacentral:rRNA from 1 species
AUCAAAAACAUAGCUAAAUGACAUCUAUAUUUAGUGCCGUCUGCUCAAUGAUUUAAUUAAAUAGCCGCAGUACCUUGACUGUGCUAAGGUAGCAUAAUCAUUUGGCUUAUAAUUGAAGUCUGGCAUGAAAGAAUUAAUGGGAAACGACUGUCUCCUUUAAGCGUGUAAAAAUUAUUAAGUAAGUGAAAAUACUUAUAAUAGCAUAAUAGACGAGAAGACCCUAGAAAUUUUUUGCAAACAGCUAUUUUAGCUAUAACAUUUUGUUGGGGCGACAGAAUAACAGUAAACUUAUUUUAGAUGUAAGAAUUAUAUUGUAAGAAAAAAUAAAUUACUCUAGGGAUAACAGCAUAAUGUAUAAAAGUUUGUGACCUCGAUGUUGGACUAGGAUUCUUAUUAACCAGAAGUUUUUAAGGUUGGCUCUGUUCGAGCUUCGUUUCCUACAUGAUCUGAGU